rnacentral:rRNA from 1 species
GGACUACACGGGUUUCUAAUCCUGUUCGCUCCCCACGCUUUCGCUCCUCAGUGUCAGGUAAGGCCCAGAGAACCGCCUUCGCCACCGGUGUUCCUCCCGAUAUCUGCGCAUUUCACCGCUACACCGGGAAUUCCAUUCUCCCCUACCUACCUCUAGUCCACCCGUAUCCGCAGCAAGUCCAGGGUUAAGCCCUGGAUUUUCACAACAGACGUAGUGGACCACCUACGAGCUCUUUACGCCCAAUAAUUCCGGACAACGCUUGCGCCCUACGUGUUACCGCGGCUGCUGGCAC